rnacentral:rRNA from 1 species
UACGAAGGGUGCAAGCGUUAAUCGGAAUUACUGGGCGUAAAGGGUGCGUAGGCGGCCUUUUAAGUCGGAUGUGAAAUCCCCGGGCUCAACCUGGGAAUGGCAUUCGAUACUGGAAGGCUAGAGUUUGGGAGAGGGUGGUGGAAUUCCCGGUGUAGCGGUGAAAUGCGUAGAGAUCGGGAGGAACAUCAGUGGCGAAGGCGGCCACCUGGCCUAAAACUGACGCUGAGGCACGAAAGCGUGGGGAGCAAACAGG